CGCAAGCUCAGAGUGUGCCCGCUGCGCCGUCGCUGUCCGUACCUGCCGCGCCGCCACCACCGCCACCAUGCCCAACUUCGCUGGCACCUGGAAGAUGCGCAGCAGCGAGAAUUUCGACGAGCUGCUCAAGGCACUGGGUGUGAACGCCAUGCUGAGGAAAGUGGCCGUGGCGGCUGCGUCCAAGCCGCACGUGGAGAUCCGCCAGGACGGGGAUCAGUUCUACAUCAAGACAUCCACCACGGUGCGCACCACUGAGAUCAACUUCAAGGUCGGAGAAGGCUUUGAGGAGGAGACGGUGGACGGACGCAAGUGCAGGGUGAGACCCCAGAGCCAGUACAGUGUCCCCGGGUCCCCACUCCGCGCCCAUGGCCCACUGCUGCUGGAGGAACCUAUGUCUCCCUUUGCAGCCUGUGGCGCGCCUUCCUUGCAGGAGUUUAGCCACUUGGGAGAAUGAGAACAAGAUCCACUGCACGCAAACUCUUCUUGAAGGGGAUGGCCCCAAAACCUACUGGACCCGGGAGCUGGCCAACGAUGAGCUUAUCCUGACGUUUGGCGCCGAUGACGUGGUCUGUACCAGAAUUUAUGUCCGAGAGUGAAGGCAGCUGGCUUGCUCCUACUUUCAGGAAGGGAUGCAGGCUCCCCUGAGGAAUAUAUCACAGUUCUGAGCUGCCAGUGGACCGCCUUUUACUCCUACCAAUAUUAGGUGACCCAAUUUUCCCCAUGACAAUGUUGUAGUGUCCCCCACCUCCGCCCCCCAGGCCUUGGUGCCUCUUGUAUCCCUAAUGCUCCAUAGUUUGGCAUUUGCAUGGUUUCGAAGUCAUUAAACUGGUUGGAUGUGUCUCAA